GUCAGCUAUUACAUCUCUGCUGACAAGUGAUCAAUCACUCAGUCACUUCAUGGUGUUUGAAGAUCUUCCUGCACUACUGAGCAGCUCUCCACAGGGAACCACAGGAAAAGAAAGAAGCAGAAAACCAUGGAGGAGGAGGAGGAGGACAGCACAAAACACUUGUGGAAAAGAAAGGAAGGAGCUGCUGGCAAUGUUCUGAAGAAGUCUCCACCUGCCUUUUGGGUGCUCUCUGUCUGCCUUGUGUGG